rnacentral:rRNA from 1 species
AAUAUUGCACAAUGGGCGAAAGCCUGAUGCAGUGACGCCGCUUGGGGGAUGAAGGCCUUCGGGUUGUAAACCCCUUUCAGCAGGGAAGAAGCGAGAGCGACUGUACCUGCAGAAGAAGCGCCGGCUAACUACGUUCCAGCAGCCGCGGUAAUACGUAGGGCGCAAGCGCUGUCCGGAUUUAUUGGGCGUAAAGAGCACGUAGGCGGUCAGUCGCGACUGCUGUGAAAACCCGAGGCUCAACCUCGGGCCUGCAGUGGAUACGGGCUGACUAGAGUGCGGUAGGGGAGACUGGAAUUCCUGGUGUAGCGGUGGAAUGCGCAGAUAUCAGGAGGAACACCGAUGGCGAAGGCAGGUCUCUGGGCCGCAACUGACGCUGAGGAGCGAAAGCGUGGGGAGCAAACA